GACGAACGCUGGCGGCGUGCCUAAUACAUGCAAGUCGGACGAGAGCGACCGGUGCUUGCACUGGUCAAUCUAGUGGCGAACGGGUGAGUAACACGUGGGUAACCUGCCCAUCAGAGGGGGAUAACAUCCGGAAACGGAUGCUAAAACCGCAUAGGUCUUCGAGCCGCAUGGCUUGAAGAGGAAAAGAGGCGCAAGCUUCUGCUGAUGGAUGGACCCGCGGUGCAUUAGCUAGUUGGUGAGGUAACGGCUCACCAAGGCCGUGAUGCAUAGCCGACCUGAGAGGGUGAUCGGCCACAUUGGGACUGAGACACGGCCCAAACUCCUACGGGAGGCAGCAGUAGGGAAUCUUCCGCAAUGGACGCAAGUCUGACGGAGCAACGCCGCGUGAGUGAAGAAGGUUUUCGGAUCGUAAAACUCUGUUGUUAGAGAAGAACAAGUGCUAGAGUAACUGUUAGCGCCUUGACGGUAUCUAACCAGAAAGCCACGGCUAACUACGUG
rnacentral:rRNA from 1 species